UACGUAGGGGGCAAGCGUUGUCCGGAUUUAUUGGGCGUAAAGAGCGUGUAGGCGGUUUGGUAGGUCCGCUGUGAAAACUCGAGGCUCAACCUCGAGACGCCGGUGGAAACCAUCAGACUAGAGUCCGGAAGAGGAGAGUGGAAUUCCGUGGUGUAGCGGUGAAAUGCGCAGAUAUCAGGAAGAACACCGAUGGCGAAGGCAGGUCACUGGGCCGCAACUGACGCUGAGGAGCGAAAGCAUGGGGAGCGAACAGG
rnacentral:rRNA from 1 species